GCCAGGCACGGUAACAGGUGCCUGUAGUCCUCCCAGCUACUCAGGAGGCUGAGGUGGGAGGAUCGCUUGAGCCCAGGAGUUCUGAGCUGUAGUGCGUUAUGCCAAUCGGGUGUCUGUACUAAGUUCGGCAUCAAUAUGGUGACCUCCUGGGAGUGGGGGACCUCUAAGUUGCCUAAGGAGGGCUGAACUGGCCCAGGUCGGAAAUGGAGCAGGUCAAACUCCCGUGCUGAUCAGUAGUGGGAUCACGCUUGUGAAUAGCCACUGCACUCCAGCCUGGGCAACAUAGCAAGACCCCAUCUCUA
rnacentral:SRP_RNA from 1 species